UACAGAGGUCCCAAGCGUUGUUCGGAUUCACUGGGCGUAAAGGGUGCGUAGGCGGUCGGGUAAGUCUGAUGUGAAAUCUCACAGCUUAACUGUGAAACUGCAUUGGAUACUAUUCGGCUAGAGAGUUGGAGGGGGGACUGGAAUUCUUGGUGUAGCAGUGAAAUGCGUAGAUAUCAAGAGGAACACCUGAGGUGAAGACGGGUUGCUGGGCUGACACUGACGCUGAGGCGCGAAAGCCAGGGGAGCAAACGGG
rnacentral:rRNA from 1 species